rnacentral:rRNA from 1 species
UUCCGGUUGAUCNCGCCGNAGGUCAUUGCUAUCGGGAUUCGAUUUAGCCAUGCUAGNCGCACGAGUUCAUACUCGUGGNAGAUAGCUCAGUAACACGUGGCCAAACUACCCUAUGGAGAACGAUAACCUCGGGAAACUGAGGCUAAUAGUUCAUACGACUCUCUCCCUGGAACCGGGUUGAGUCAGAAACGCUACGGCGCCAUAGGAUGUGGCUGCGGCCGAUUAGGUAGACGGUGGGGUAACGGCCCACCGUGCCAAUAAUCGGUAUAGGUUGUGAGAGCNAGAGCCUAGAGACGGAAUCUGAGACAAGAUUCCGGGCCC